CCUACGGGUGGCAGCAGUGAGGAAUAUUGGUCAAUGGCCGGAAGGCUGAACCAGCCAUGCCGCGUGAAGGUCAGUGCCCUAUGGGCGUUAAACUUCUUUUGUGCGGGAGCAAUAAUGGUCACGUGUGGCCAGACGAGAGUACCGUACGAAUAAGCAUCGGCUAACUCCGUGCCAGCAGCCGCGGUAAUACGGGGGAUGCAAGCGUUAUCCUGAUUUAUUGGGUUUAAAGGGUGCGUAGGCUGGGAGGUAAGUCAGCGGUGAAAUGCCCCCGCUCAACGGGGUGAAGUGCCAUUGAUACUGGCUUGCUGGAAUGCGGAUGCGGUGGGAGGAAUGUGAGGUGUAGCAGUGAAAUGCAUAGAUAUUAGGAGGAACACCAGUGGCGAAGGCGGCUUACUGGACUGUAACUGACGUUGAGGCGCGAAAGCGUGGGGAGCAAACAGGAUUAGAUACCCGAGUAGUC
rnacentral:rRNA from 1 species